rnacentral:rRNA from 1 species
GUGCCUAACACAUGCAAGUCGAGCGAGAAAGGGGCUUCGGCCACUGAGUAAAGCGGCGCACGGGUGAGUAACACGUGGGUAAUCUGCCCUAGAGUGGGGAAUAACACCGGGAAACGGUGCUAAUACCGCAUACGAUCACGGUGUCUUCGGAUGUUGUGAUGAAAGGAGCAAUUCGCUCUUGGAGGAGCCCGCGGCUGAUUAGCUAGUUGGUGAGGUAAUGGCUCACCAAUGCUACGAUCAGUAGCCGGUCUGAGAGGACGGUCGGCCACACUGGAACUGAGACACGGUCCAG